UAAGGUCACACAAAAGACCCCCCGAGUGGCGUGAGAAGACUUCCAAAUGCCCCAGCGGUUGUCCGUCAAAAGAAAUCGAAGAUGAGAAAAAGCAAAAUUAAUCCCAUUUUGAAACCUAGGGUUACUUUGUCACUAAUUUCCUUGACCACAGUAAUAGAAAAAUACCCUCCAUUCACAGAUCAUAUAUUUGUUUGCUAUCAUAGUUCUGACAGACGAAUAUAAAACCUGAGUGGCAUAUCACCGCACCACAAAAGCCAAAGGAACGCCGCGCGGACAGCAUCGAACGUAAGCCUAACAAUUCUGAGCGCGUUCAUCAUGGAAAAAGUUACAUCACUAGUGAUAUUCGCUGCCUUCUUUGCUCUAACCUGUUCAUUCCCAAGCGAAGAUAGAGAUUUGACAGAAAAUGAAUGGAUGGAACAAACCCUACGUUAGUACAAUAAGUAACUUUUUAAACAUAACUUUAACUUCUUCUGUUCUUUUGGUUUUCCUUUCCUUUUCUUCCAAUGGAGAAAGUUGUGUCGAAAGAAAAUAGAUAGGCAGCGAGAUUGAUUAUUCUAUCGCCGAAACUGCACGAUUUGAAAGUUGUGAUUUCUUCGUUUCAAUUUACUUCUGGAAGAGAUGUUCGUUGAUUGC